rnacentral:lncRNA from 1 species
GUGUUUUGUACUCGUUCGGGAUUCAGGCUGUAUAUGAGUUAGUGAGGACUGAAGAGAGGAGAGUUAAACAAACAAGCAAACAAACAAACACACAGGGCAAGAAAACAGGACCCAACAGCAGACGCUGACACCCUCCCGACCUGCAGUGCAGAGUGAUUCCAAGAACCGCGCGCGACAUUCCGUGUCUCAGGAAAGAUGGUACCCACACUAAGCUCAGCCAAGAACGGCCUCCGCGCCCGCUUAAUUUUCCGAACCUGUUCUUGUGGUGCUGAUGGGGAGGGUGGCCGGGAAGAGAGGAGAGACCACUGAUCAAGUUGCUGUUUGUAUAUUGGUUGAUUGCUGUUUGCUGUUUGUUUAUUGAUUGAUUUUUUUUUAUUGGCCCCUGGCCGAGGAUGAGCUAAGAAGCCUUUUGCAUACCUUGACCUGACCUCACUUAUCCUUCCACACUUCUACACCCUUUUCCUUCCUGCGCAGGGUCCUGAGCAGGUGAUUCAGGCCCACAUUCUCGUCAUUCCCGCCUCGCUGCUCAGCCCCUUUCCUUGGCCUGCAUUUCCUAUUGGUCUGUAUUGUGUACUGAAGCAGGGUGUUCCAACAGCCAGCUCAGAGUCUCUAGGUGUUCUGGGAAGGUAGACGGCUCAGUUUCUAGUGUGUUCUGACAGAGCCAGGCCUCAGAGUAUAGCUACUGGGGCUUACCCCUGAUGUGAGGGCUGAGGGUAGGGGAAGGAGGGGUGAAGAGCAGAGGAAAAUCCCUGGGGCUCAUGUUCCUUCCUGGGUAUAAUCUUCAUUUCUCACUGCCCCAAGCAGAGGAAUGAAAAUUGAGAACGCCCAUGUCCACAGACGCCACCUAGAUGAACUCUGAGUUCUGACUGUAAUCUGUAACAAGGUCUAAAUCAAGCAGUGCUUAGAGCCUCCCACAACGGGCCUUCAACCAUAUUUGGAAGAAAAGAAGGAAUCCAGAGAGGAAAUGGUUACCUGUGCUUACAGGCGGUCUGCACCACAAGCGCUGACUCAGCAAGAGGGAACUCUGCGUACCCCUGUCCCGAAAGCCCCUUGAGCAAGGACGUCAGAAAGAGACUAAAAUGGAGGGACAGCCUCCGAGGGCCCUGGAGCAGGGUAACAUGAGAUCUAUGACUAUCUAGUCAUUCGCUACCUGCAUUUGAAAGCAUAUGCAUUAUUAUGGUUGUCACCAUUUAUAGUAGUAUACUUAGACGUUGUCCAUCGAAUCUGGACGCAUACUCAAUUUGAAACUAAAUAAAACCUAAAGGAACAUAGGUGACCAUGAGGGACUCCAGGGAACAUUCUCUGGGACGGAACUCUGUGAAGAGUGGAGAAGAGGCCUCUAGGAUCAAGCUAUUCAUCAUGGAUACAGCCUCAGAUCCAGGACCUCCACCCUCUGGUGCAGUAUUUCCAGGAUAUUAGUGGGGGACUGUGGACCAUUCAAGCCUUGGAACAAGUCUAGCCCAACCACUGUCUAACUUUGCUGCUGACGGAAGCCUGACCCAGCCCUGACCUCGUAGACCUUAUAGGAAUAUGUUCUCAGCUCACUGCUCCACAUUUCUGGCCCUGUGACCUCACCAAACAAACACCUGCCUAUCUCAGAGCAUUGUAUCUAUUCAUGUUGAUUUCUGUCUCUUCCUUAUUAGUCUCUUGCACAAACCAUGAACUGGAUGAAAGCAAGAACGGGAUCGUUUGGGUUCUGUGGGUGACAUCAGGACUUGACUGUGGACUUGACUUGCAUCUGGCACAGCCUGCUCGCCAGCUCCUAUUCCCUUGCCCACCUGUUCUUUGACCUUGAACGCCCAACCCCUUUUUCUUGGCAUCAGUAUCGUCCUCUCUAAGAGCAGAGAUUAGGAUUAAUAAAUCUAUGACGUGCUUGUCACAGGGACUAAUGAGACUGUACUUAAGACUCAGCUCUGUUUUUUAGCGCGUUGGAAAUAGUCAAUAGGUAUUAGAGGAAAUCAUCCCCCAAAACUCAGUAGCUAAAAACAAAACACGAAAUAAGCAAGGCAUGGGAGAUGGCUCAGCCCUUGCAGGCUGGGCUCACAAACAAACAAAAGAUUCAUUAUAGCCAGCGCUGGGAUUAUGGCUCAGUCAACCAAGCCUUGCAGAUCUGAGGAUAUGAGUUCUGGCCCCUAGAAUCCACAUAAAAAGCCAAGUAUAGCGGGAUACAUCUGUGGUCCCAGAAUCAGCAGGAUGGGAGACAGGAGACAGACAGAGCCCUGGUAGCCUCAUGGGCUGGUUAGCCUUAUGUGCCUGGAAAGUUCUAGGCCAAUGAAAGACCCAAAGUGCCUGAGGACCAGCACUAACGUUCAUUGUUCUCUUAUCUCUAC